AGAUGCGAUCAUACCAGCACUAAAGCACCGGAUCCCAUCAGAACUCCGAAGUUAAGCGUGCUUGGGCGAGAGUAGUACUAGGAUUGGUGACCUCCUGGGAAGUCCUCGUGUUGCAUUCC
rnacentral:rRNA from 1 species